GUUUUAAAUUUAUAAAACACGAUAUUUACUAACACUAAACACACAUAUGGGCAAGUGCACCCAUCGUGGACGUAGUAUAGUGUUGGUAAGAUACCGAGGUCGUCCAAGGACACAAGAGCUUUUAAUACCGGUUUAUCCUCAACGUCUAAUCAAAUCAAAAAGUUAGAAAAAUGUUUUAAACUAAGAAAAAUAAAAACUAACUAAAUGCUGAAAAAUAAAAUAAAAUAAAAACAGAUAGACAAGAUGAAUCACUUGGAUCCGACAAGUGUAUUAGCCCCUUUUUCGGAGGUGACGUUACCCUCAACCCAGUAGUUUGAGUCAGCAAGGAUACAAUCCUAAAGGGUUGGAUUAUUGAAAGAUAAUGAAUUAAGUUAUUAAUGCAAAUUAUGGUAGGCCCCGCUUUUGGCGGUGACGUUACCCUCGGCUAAGUAGUCUGAGUCAGCAGGGAUACAGUCCUAAAUAGCCGGGUUAUAGUAUUAAUAGUAGUUAGCUUAUGAGGGGGUCAAAGAGUUUGGAUCCCCGCCAUCCAAUACCUAUGGGCAUUGAAGGAGAUCCUACUAAAUUUGACCCAGGUCCCAAGCAGGACCUCUAAACGCUGAACAAGGGCAAGACCUUUACCAAACCGUUCCCUUAACCCCCGACCAGGUAGCCAACAUACCUCCAUAUAGACCGUGGAGAUAUGAAUGGUGAAAAUCUUUUAUUUUAUAUAGACAGUAAAAUAAUGCCAAGACACCACGGACAAACGAUAAGGAAAGAUCACCUUCAACAUAAGUAACUAGUUAUUAAAGUCAUUAAUACAAAACCAAAUAAAAAGUGCA
rnacentral:lncRNA from 1 species